rnacentral:rRNA from 1 species
UAGAGUUUGAUCCUGGCUCAGGAUGAACGCUAGCUACAGGCUUAACACAUGCAAGUCGAGGGGCAGCAUGGUCUUAGCUUGCUAAGGCCGAUGGCGACCGGCGCACGGGUGAGUAACACGUAUCCAACCUGCCUUAUACUCCCGGACAGCCUUCUGAAAGGAAGAUUAAUACGGGAUGGCAUCACGAGCCAGCAUUUUCUCGUGAUUAAAGAAUUUCGGUAUAAGAUGGGGAUGCGUUCCAUUAGAUAGUAGGCGGGGUAACGGCCCACCUAGUCGACGAUGGAUAGGGGUUCUGAGAGGGAGGUCCCCCACAUUGGAACUGAGACACGGUCCAAACUCCUACGGGAGGCAGCAGUGAGGAAUAUUGGUCAAUGGGCGCGAGCCUGAACCAGCCAAGUAGCGUGCAGGAUGACGGCCCUAUGGGUUGUAAACUGCUUUUAUAAGGGAAUAAAGUGUGCCACGUGUGGUGCUUUGCAUGUACCUUAUGAAUAAGCAUCGGCUAACUCCGUGCCAGCAGCCGCGGUAAUACGGAGGAUGCGAGCGUUAUCCGGAUUUAUUGGGUUUAAAGGGAGCGUAGACGGAUGAUUAAGUCAGCUGUGAAAAUCUGCGGCUCAACCGUAGUCGUGCAGUUGAUACUGGUCACCUUGAGUGCGUUUGAGGCAGGCGGAAUUCGUGGUGUAGCGGUGAAAUGCUUAGAUAUCACGAAGAACUCCGAUUGCGAAGGCAGCUGACUGUAUCGUAACUGACGCUGAAGCUCGAAAGUGUGGGUAUCGAACAGGAUUAGAUACCCUGGUAGUCCACACGGUAAACGAUGGAUGCUCCCCUGUUGGCCCUUUGGUCAGUGGGUUAGGGGAAACCCGUUAAGCAUCCUCCCUGGGGAGUACGCCGGCAGCGGUGAAACUCAAAGGAAUUGACGGGGGCCCGCACAAGCGGAGGAACAUGUGGUUUAAUUCGAUGAUACGCGAGGAACCUUACCCGGGCUUGAACUGCCGGCGAACGAUUCGGAGAUGAUGAGGCCCUUCGGGGCGCCGGUGGAGGUGCUGCAUGGUUGUCGUCAGCUCGUGCCGUGAGGUGUCGGCUUAAGUGCCAUAACGAGCGCAACCCCCGUCAGUAGUUGCCAUCGGGUAAUGCCGGGCACUCUGCUGAUACUGCCACCGCAAGGUGUGAGGAAGGUGGGGAUGACGUCAAAUCAGCACGGCCCUUACGUCCGGGGCUACACACGUGUUACAAUGGGGCGUACAGCGAGUUGGCCGCUGGCAACAUCGGUCUAAUCCAUAAAAGUGUCCCUCAGUUCGGACUGGGGUCUGCAACCCGACCCCACGAAGCUGGAUUCGCUAGUAAUCGCGCAUCAGCCAUGGCGCGGUGAAUACGUUCCCGGGCCUUGCACACACCGCCCGUCA